rnacentral:rRNA from 1 species
UACGUAGGGGGCUAGCGUUGUCCGGAAUCAUUGGGCGUAAAGCGCGUGUAGGCGGUCCGGUAAGUCCGCUGUGAAAGUCGGGGGCUCAACCCUCGGAUGCCGAUCGAUACUGUCGGGCUAGAGUCCGGAAGAGGCGAGUGGAAUUCCUGGUGUAGCGGUGAAAUGCGCAGAUAUCAGGAGGAACACCAAUGGCGAAGGCAGCUCGCUGGGACGGUACUGACGCUGAGGCGCGAAAGCGU